GAUGAACGCUGGCUACAGGCUUAACACAUGCAAGUCGAGGGGAAACGACAUCGAAAGCUUGCUUUUGAUGGGCGUCGACCGGCGCACGGGUGAGUAACGCGUAUCCAACCUGCCCAUCACCUGGGGAUAACCUUGCGAAAGUAAGACUAAUACCCAAUGACGUCUCUAGAAGACAUCUGAAAGAGAUUAAAGAUUUAUCGGUGAUGGAUGGGGAUGCGUCUGAUUAGCUUGUUGGCGGGGUAACGGCCCACCAAGGCUACGAUCAGUAGGGGUUCUGAGAGGAAGGUCCCCCACAUUGGAACUGAGACACGGUCCAAACUCCUACGGGAGGCAGCAGUGAGGAAUAUUGGUCAAUGGACGAGAGUCUGAACCAGCCAAGUAGCGUGCAGGAAGACGGCCCCAUGGGUUGUAAACUGCUUUUAUAAGGGAAUAAAGUGAGUCUCGUGAGACUAUUUGCAUGUACCUUAUGAAUAAGGACCGGCUAAUUCCGUGCCAGCAGCCGCCGUAAAAC
rnacentral:rRNA from 1 species